UGGGGAAUAUUGCACAAUGGGCGCAAGCCUGAUGCAGCCAUGCCGCGUGUAUGAAGAAGGCCUUCGGGUUGUAAAGUACUUUCAGCGGGGAGGAAGGUGUUGAGGUUAAUAACCUCAGCAAUUGACGUUACCCGCAGAAGAAGCACCGGCUAACUCCGUGCCAGCAGCCGCGGUAAUACGGAGGGGGCAAGCGUUAAUCGGAAUUACUGGGCGUAAAGUGCACGCAGGCGGUCUGUCAAGUCGGAUGUGAAAUCCCCGGGCUCAACCUGGGAACUGCAUUCGAAACUGGCAGGCUAGAGUCUUGUAGAGGGGGGUAGAAUUCCAGGUGUAGCGGUGAAAUGCGUAGAGAUCUGGAGGAAUACCGGUGGCGAAGGCGGCCCCCUGGACAAAGACUGACGCUCAGGUGCGAAAGCGUGGGGAGCAAACA
rnacentral:rRNA from 1 species